GGAUUAGAUACCCUGGUAGUCCACGCCGUAAACGAUGAGUGCUAGUUAUCGGGAAAUUUAUUUUUCGGUUUCGUAGCUAACGCAUUAAGCACUCCGCCUGGGGACUACGAUCGCAAGAUUAAAACUCAAAGGAAUUGACGGGGGCUCGCACAAGUGGUGGAGCAUGCGGUUUAAUUCGAUGCUACGCGAAAAACCUUACCAACCCUUGACAUGGUAGUCGCAGACCACAGAGAUGAGGUCUUUCAGUUCGGCUGGACUACACACAGGUGUUGCAUGGCUGUCGUCAGCUCGUGCCG
rnacentral:rRNA from 1 species